CCGAGUCCCCGUCAGGGUGGACGGGGAGAGUUUGCCGCGGAACCUUGACCUCGGCCCCGCCCGGGGCUUCCUGCGGGUGGGGCGGCUCCGGGAUGAGCUCUGCUGCGGGUGGGGUCAGCCCUUACCCGCUGGCCAUUUCCGUUCCCUCUUUUUUCUUCUUUUUUCCACGCCUCAGGUGUCUCAGCGGAUGUACUACGGUGACGAAGAGUCUGGUCUGUCUCUGUUGCCCAGGCUGGAGUACAUGGUACCAUCAUAGCUCACUGCAGCCUCAAACUCCUGAGCUCAAGUGAUCCUCCCACCUCAGCCUCCUGAGUAGCUGAGACUAUCGGCUGCACUACCACACCUGGAUAGCACCUUUCGAUAAGUAUAACAGAGUGUCCCCUCCCCUCCUCUCCCUCCACCCCUCCCUCCUUCCCUUCCUUCCUUCCUUUUUACAGAGACAAGUUCUCACUAUGUUGCCAGGCUGGUCUCGAACUCCUGGGCUCAAGUGAUACUCCUGCCUUGGCCUCUCAAAGUGCUGGGAUUAGACGUGAGCCACUGUGCCUGGCCUAAGUCAGUAUUUCUACAAGCAAUGGAAGAGAUUGCUGAUUUUUGUUUGUUUUCAGUUAAAUACCAGGUACAAGGGAAAGAGACCGGUUUGAGAGAACAGUGGAUUCACAACUUCCAUCUAACACGAAUGUGAUCCAUAUAUACAUGGAGAGCAGACAUCUAAACAACUGGAAACACAGCAGAAGGGCAUGCUUUUUCGAAAUUGUUACCUUUCUCAUUUUCGCUCAGUACCCAUAUAGCUGAACUCACGUAAUGAAAUGUUCAUAGAAUGUGACCCUAUUCUCUGCUACAAUUAGAGGGAUUUGUGAAACUUUUGUCAUUUAAUAAAACCAUUAGUUGUAAUUAUUUAUUAAAUCAAUUCAUAUGUUCCUCUCUUUUCACAUUCAAAUACGUUUUAAUAGGAAUGGCAAUAUAUUUUAAUGCUCCAGAGGAAAGAGUAGAACUCUGGCCAUUGUACAUUCUUUAUUAAACAUCAAUACUGAAAACAGAUUUACUGACAUAUGUAUAUAAAUAUAAUCAAA
rnacentral:lncRNA from 1 species